GAGUGUAGCUCAGUGGUUGAACACCUGGCUAGCAUGCGUGAGGCCCUGGGUUCUAUCCCCAGCAACUCA
rnacentral:tRNA from 1 species